rnacentral:rRNA from 1 species
AGGUAAGCUACUAAGAGCGAAUGGUGGAUGCCUUGACUGGUAAAGGCGAUGAAGGACGUACUAGACUGCGAUAAGCUACGGGGAGCUGUCAAGAAGCUUUGAUCCGUAGAUUUCCGAAUGGGUCAACCCAAUGUAUAGAGAUAUACAUUACCUAUAUAGGAGCGAACGAGGGGAAUUGAAACAUCUUAGUACCCUCAGGAAAAGAAAUCAAUAGAGAUUGCGUCAGUAGCGGCGAGCGAAAGCGCAAGAGGGCAAACCCAGUGCUUGCACUGGGGGUUGUAGGACUGCAAUGUGCAAGAGGUAAGUUUAGCAGAACAUUCUGGAAAGUAUAACCAUAGAGGGUGAUAGUCCCGUAUGCGAAAAACAAACCUUAGCUAGCAGUAUCCUGAGUAGGGCGGGACACGAGGAAUCCUGUCUGAAUCCGGGUCGACCACGAUCCAACCCUAAAUACUAAUACCAGAUCGAUAGUGCACAAGUACCGUGAGGGAAAGGUGAAAAGAACUGAGGUGAUCAGAGUGAAAUAGAACCUGAAACCAUUUGCUUACAAUCAUUCAGAGCCCUAUGUAGCAAUACAGGGUGAUGGACUGCCUUUUGCAUAAUGAGCCUGCGAGUUGUGGUGUCUGGCAAGGUUAAGCAAACGCGAAGCCGUAGCGAAAGCGAGUCUGAAUAGGGCGCUUAGUCAGAUGCUGCAGACCCGAAACGAAGUGAUCUAUCCAUGAGCAAGUUGAAGCUAGUGUAAGAACUAGUGGAGGACUGAACCCAUAGGCGUUGAAAAGCCCCGGGAUGACUUGUGGAUAGGGGUGAAAGGCCAAUCAAACUUCGUGAUAGCUGGUUCUCUCCGAAAUAUAUUUAGGUAUAGCGUUGUGUCGUAAUAUAAGGGGGUAGAGCACUGAAUGGGCUAGGGCAUACACCAAUGUACCAAACCCUAUCAAACUCCGAAUACCUUAUAUGUAAUCACAGCAGUCAGGCGGCGAGUGAUAAAAUCCGUCGUCAAGAGGGAAACAACCCAGACUACCAGCUAAGGUCCCUAAAUCUUACUUAAGUGGAAAACGAUGUGAAGUUACUUAAACAACCAGGAGGUUGGCUUAGAAGCAGCCAUCCUUUAAAGAAAGCGUAAUAGCUCACUGGUCUAGUGAUUUUGCGCGGAAAAUAUAACGGGGCUAAAGUAAGUACCGAAGCUGUAGACUUAGUUUACUAAGUGGUAGGAGAGCGUUCUAUUUGCGUCGAAGGUAUACCGGUAAGGAGUGCUGGAGCGAAUAGAAGUGAGCAUGCAGGCAUGAGUAGCGAUAAUUAAUGUGAGAAUCAUUAACGCCGUAAACCCAAGGUUUCCUACGCGAUGCUCGUCAUCGUAGGGUUAGUCGGGUCCUAAGUCGAGUCCGAAAGGGGUAGACGAUGGCAAAUUGGUUAAUAUUCCAAUACCAACAUUAGUGUGCGAUGGAAGGACGCUUAGGGCUAAGGGGGCUAGCGGAUGGAAGUGCUAGUCUAAGGUCGUAGGAGGUUGUACAGGCAAAUCCGUAUAACAAUACUCCGAGAACUGAAAGGCUUUUUGAAGUCUUCGGAUGGAUAGAAGAACCCCUGAUGCCGUCGAGCCAAGAAAAGUUUCUAAGUUUAGCUAAUGUUGCCCGUACCGUAAACCGACACAGGUGGGUGGGAUGAGUAUUCUAAGGCGCGUGGAAGAACUCUCUUUAAGGAACUCUGCAAAAUAGCACCGUAUCUUCGGUAUAAGGUGUGGUUAGCUUUGUAUUAGGAUUUACUCCGAAAGCAAGGAAACUUACAACAAAGAGUCCCUCCCGACUGUUUACCAAAAACACAGCACUCUGCUAACUCGUAAGAGGAUGUAUAGGGUGUGACGCCUGCCCGGUGCUCGAAGGUUAAUUGAU